CAUAUGCAAAAUUGAGUGGAGUCCAAAAGUUAGUAAUAACAGAAUAAAAGAAGAUGAAACAAUAUAUUGUUGGGAAAUCUUUUUGAAAAAAAUUGAAGACAAUGACAUGUUCUACCAGACUGAAGAAAAAUCAAUAAUUGUUCAUUUUGAGCAUUUGUUACAGUUUACGACUGGUUCAGAGUCCAUCCCACCAACUGGAUUUGAAAAUUCUUUAACAAUAACAUUUUAUAAUCAAGAAGAUGGGCAAACUAGGUAUCCAUAUUCUUCCACUUGUGCCAUGUCACUUGCACUACCAAGAGGACAUGAAGACCGAACUAUGUUUGAGGAACUUCUUCUAAGAUCUUUAUUUGACUCAUGCGGUUUUUAUAAAAUUUGACAUUGCUUUGAUACUCAAACAUUUCGACUUGUUUUAGCACUGUUCUUGUUAAAAGUUAAGGAACUAAGAUUUGUUAUGUUCGCUAAA